rnacentral:rRNA from 1 species
UACGAAGGGGGCUAGCGUUGCUCGGAAUCACUGGGCGUAAAGGGUGCGUAGGCGGGUCUUUAAGUCAGGGGUGAAAUCCUGGAGCUCAACUCCAGAACUGCCUUUGAUACUGAAGAUCGUGAGUUCGGGAGAGGUGAGUGGAACUGCGAGUGUAGAGGUGAAAUUCGUAGAUAUCCGCAAGAACACCAGUGGCGAAGGCGGCUCACUGGCCCGAUACUGACGCUGAGGCACGAAAGCGUGGGGAGCAAACAGG